CCGAUCUGAACAGAGCCGCCGCCGGCGGAGCAGCAAUCUCCCUGGCCGCCAGCAGUAGUCCCGCGAGGAAAGAUCUCCUAGACCUCAUCCUCAGAUGCAGAAUCCGGGUUCCCCUCCGCCGGGACGGCGAUCUCCUCGCGAGUCGCCUCCCGAGACGCAGUAGUCGCCUCCCGAGACGCAGUAGUCGCCUCCCGAGUCAUGCCUCACACACACACACACACACACCUCUUCUUCACUUCCCGGCCUCUGCACCAACAAAGGAUGCAUACGGAAAUAAAGUAUGCUCACGUACGCAUUUAUAUUGUUCGUACAGGAAAUAUGACGUAAAGCAUAUAAGCGUACACACAAGAUACUUAGGUUACUAGUCGACUUGGGAAGCUAAUUACAAACAAGCAAGGCCUCAUUUCUACUGUAGAAAUCAUCAAAGGUGGAUGAUUUAUCUAUGCUCUCUUAAAAUUCCUUUCAGAUUUGGUUCCAUAAGACAAAACAGUGGCAUUUCAGUUUGCAAACCAAAAUCCAUGGCUCACUGGCUACCCCAAAAAUGUCAAUAUGGUUAUCAUUCAUUGUCGUCAAGCUCUUGUACUGCUAUUCUUAUCUACACAGAAAAUAACGUUGGAACUAAAGAUUAAAUUCCAGCAUCAUUACAUACUAAAUUCAUUGAAAUGAUUCAUCUACCACAAUUAUACUUGCAAAAGCAAGAUUUUACAUUUAGGAUUUGUUCCUAUCAAACUAAAUGCUACAACUGAACAAUCAUGUAUAACAAUUACACGUUCAACUACCACAAUUAUACGUUCAACUGUUUGUAUAAGUGCGUUUUUUUUCUUUUAACAAGAUUUCCAGUAGUUGUAUUUGCUUCUUUUGCAGACAGAUCUUGGAUUCUAUGCAAUAGUUGUGGUGCGUGAAUUUCCAAUUAUUUAAGUAUUUGUCAUAUAACUUCCUUUGAAAGAAGACACGAGGCUGGAUACUGCAUCUGUCCUAGCAGGAGGAACUUUGCUACAGUUUUUGUGGACAUAUCGACGACACGAGUUGAAGUACGUUUGAAUAAUUUUCUUUCAGUUUUGCUAGGUACUUUUAAACUUUCCACAAUACUAACACUGCUUCCUCAUUAUACUAAUACCUUCUCAACGAGUUGGAGCUUGCACAUAUGGGCAUAUGGUACACUUGCACGGGUUGCCAGGUUCUCAAGACCAUUGGAUUUAGUACGUCAAAAUGGAUUAGAUGAACCAAAUACUAACUGCUCGUCCUUCUUAGUGUAGUGUAUAUAGGAUUGUAUAUUUCUGCUCAAUUAUUCCCAUUAAAUAUGUUCCUUUAGGGAGAUAUGUAAAGAUGUUACUGCAACCUACAAGGAACAAAAUCAUCCUGCCAGUAAUCACAAUUGUAUUCUCCAUGAAGAUCGGUCAAGAGCAAGGAUUUCUAUUCCAACGGCCUUGACGAAUUCAACAUCUUAGCUCCAGUGUCACCAGUAUAAGAUAAAUCAAGUUGGUGUUAUUUUGGAUGAAGAUUAUCUGCUAAUAAGGCCAACUUCCCUGACCGCGAAUCAUUACCGAAUGAGAGAAAGGAAGGGAGGGAAAGAGAAAGGGAUAGGGGAGAGGGAGCAGGACAUACCUGACCGCGACGCCGUCCGGUCUGGAACCGCCGUGGUCGCUGUCCCUUCGUUUAGGGUGGAGGAGGAGGUCCGUUGAGCGGGCCAAGCGUGCAGGGGAGACAUUGGGGCGCCUCCGCUGCGGAUCCGUCAGGGAGGGGGCAAACGCCGUCGCCGGAGACGAGGGAGGCAGGAUCCGGUGGUGUCCCGGCGUUGGAGGGGGGGUGAGGAGGGGGCUNNNNNNNNNNNNNNNNNNNNNNNNNNNNNNNNNNNNNNNNNNNNNNNNNNNNNNNNNNNNNNNNNNNNNNNNNNNNNNNNNNNNNNNNNNNNNNNNNNNNUUCUUUGGCGGGGUGUUUGUCGAGAUUCGAUGAAUUGUGGGUUUGUGAUCAGAUUACCUAUGAUAUAUAUUUGAGUCUUUGUUGAUUUCUUAUAUGCAUGAUUUGANNNNNNNNNNGGCACCCUGUCGGAGGGGGCUUUGGAGUUGGAGGGCUUCUUCAUCAUCAUCAUCGCCCCUCCAAUGANNNNNNNNNNNNNNNNNNNNNNNNNNNNNNNNNNNNNNNNNNNNNNNNNNNNNNNNNNNNNNNNNNNNNNNNNNNNNNNNNNNNNNNNNNNNNNNNNNNNNNNNNNNNNNNNNNNNNNNNNNNNNNNNNNNNNNNNNNNNNNNNNNNNNNNNNNNNNNNNNNNNNNNNNNNNNNNNNNNNNNNNNNNNNNNNNNNNNNNNNNNNNNNNNNNNNNUGUGUUUGUCGAGAUUCGGUGAAUUGUGGAUUUGUGAUCAGAUUAUGUAUGAUAUAUAUUUGAGUCUUUGUUGAUUUCUUAUAUGCAUGAUUUGAUAUCCUUGUAAGUCUCUCCGAGUCUAGGGUUUUAUUUGGCCAACUAGAUCUAUGAUUGUUGCAAUGGGAGAAGUGCUUGGUUUUGGGUUCUUACCAUGUGGUGACCUUUCCCAGUGACAGUAGGGGCAACAAGGCACACAUUGAGUGGUUACCAUCAAGGGUAACAAGGUGGGCUCUGUUGUUGAUAUGAGAUUGUCCAUCUACAUCAUGUCAUCUUGCUUAAGGCGUUACUCUGUUCUUUUGGACUUAAUACACUAGAUGUAUGCUUGAUAGCGGUCGACGUGUGGAGUAAUAGUAGUAGAUGCAGAAAGUAUCGGUCUACUUGUUUUGGACAUGAUGCCUAUAGAUAUAAUCAUUGCCAUAGAUAUCGUCAUGACUUUGCGUGGUUCUAUCAAUUGCUCGACAGUAAUUUGUUCACCCACCAUCUACUAGCUUUCAUGAGAGAAGCCACUAGUAAACACUACGACCCCCGGGUCUAUUCACAUCUAUCGUUUACACCUCCGCUUUUACUUUGCUUUGUUACUUUGUUGCUUUCAGUUCUUACUUUGCGAACAAUUUAUAAGGGAUUGACAACCCCUUCAUAGCAUUGGGAGCAGGUUGUUUGUGUUUGUGCAGGCACUUGUGAUACUCCUUCACUGGAUCGAUACCUCUGUUCUCAAAACUGAGGGAAAUACUUACCACCGCUGCGCUACAUCACCCUUUCCGCUUCGAGGGAACACCAACCUUAAUAUCCCGUAGUUUCCAUUAGGACCCCGCUGUCACGGGAGGGAUGGACAAUAGAUGUCAUGCAAGUUCUUUUCCCUAAGCACGUAUGACUACAUAUGGAAUACAUGCCUACAUUAGAUUGACGAACGUGAGCUAGUUACUUAUCUCUCUGUGUUAAAGUUGUUACAUGAUGAAUCACAUCCGUCAUACUCAUCCAUCACCGAUCCACUGCCUAUGAGGUUUUUACUUCUGGUCCUCGCUACGUUACUUUGUCUAGGCUUGUCCCUUGCUACAAAAGGGAUUGGCCCACUUUGUUGCUACUGUUGCUACUGUUGUUACUCUGUUGCUGCUGCCACUGCUGUUCCUUGCUACUUCGCUGUUACUUGUUGCAAGAUAUUUUCCGACACUGUUGUCAGGGAUGAAUAGUUACUCGUCCACGUGCAACCUACUGGCGCCAUUGAUACAACAGUUAGGAAUAGUCUGCCGUCAACAGAUCAUUUCUAGCACCGUUGCUAUCAUACUACUUUGCUACUGAUACUUUGCUUGCAGACACUAAUCUUUGAGGUGUGGUUGAAUCUGACAAACUCAGCUGCUAAUACUUGAGAAUAUUCUUUUGCUUCCUCUUGUGCGAACCAACAAAUUUUGGUUGAAUACUCUACCCUCGAAAACUGUUGCGAUCCCCUACACCUGUGGGUUAUCAAGGCUUUUUCUGGCGCCGUUGCCGGGGAGGCACAACUAUAUUCUCUGAUUCACUUGGGAUUGACGUCUGCUGAUCACUAUGAGGAAUCCGAAAGAUCCAAGAACUAAAAUCCUACCUUCCACUACGAGGAGAGGUAAGGAACUGCCAUCUAGCUCUACACUUGAUUCACCUUCAGUUUUGAGUAAGUUUGCGACUUCGCCUCGUGCUAGAAAUCUUGAUAUGUCGCCUAUGCUUGAUGAUGCUACUAUGCUUGAUACUAUGCGUGAUGAUGCUCUGCUUGAUACUAUGCCUGAUGAUGCUAUGCUUGAUACUAUGCCUGCUAUGCCUGAUACUUCUUUGCCACUUGGUGCAUUCCUUGAUGCACAUAUUGCUAGAGCUGCUGCUAGAUGUGACGAUACUUCUGAAACUGCUCAUACUAUUGAAGUAGAACCUGCUACUAUGCAUGAAUUGCCUGUUAUGCCUCAUAAGCGCUAUGUUAUGGAGGGAGAGAUAGCUGAGGACUUUCUUGCGUGUAAGGAUAGCUGUGAUGUUGAGAAACUUCUACGCAAGUGGAAAGAAAAAGCUCUGAACGCUAGGAUGAAAUACGACCCGAAGUUUGCUACUUCGCCUAUCUUUGUGAUCGAUAAGGAUUAUGAAUUCUCUGUCGACCCUGAGUUAAUUACUCUAGUCGAAUCUGAUCCUUUUCACAGUUAUGAGUCUGAAACGGUUGUAGCCCAUCUUACCAAAUUGCACGAUAUAGCCACCCUAUUCACUAGUGAGGAAAAGAUAUGCCACUACUACAUGCUCAAGCUGUUUCCUUUCUCGCUAAAGGAUGAUGCUAAGACCUGGUUCACUUCUCUUGCUCCUGGUUGUGUGCGUAGCCCCCAGGAUAUGGUCUACUACUUCUCUGAAAAAUAUUUCCCUGCACAUAAGAAGUAAGCUGCCUUGCAGGAAAUAUACAACUUUGCUCAAGCUGAGGAAGUGAGUCUCCCACAAGCUUGGGGAGGCUCAUCCAGCUACUGAAUGCUUUGCCUGAUCACCCUCUUGAGAAGAAUGAAAUACUUGAUAUCUUCUAUAAUGGACUUGCCGAUGCUUCUAGAGACCACCUAGAUAGUUGUGCCGGUAGUGUUUUUAGGGAACGAACUAUAGAACAAGCUGAGAUUCUACUGAAUAACAUCUUGUGCAAUGAGAAUGCUUGGACUAUUCCCGAACCACCUCCUAAGCCAACUCCAAAGAAAAGAGGUAUUCUAUUCCUCAGUCCUGAAGAUAUGCAAGAAGCCAAGAAAUCUAUGCGAGAGAAAGGCAUUAAAUCUGAAGAUGUCAAAAAUCUACCACCUAUCGAAGAGAUCCAUGGUCUCGAUAAUCCGAUGCAGGUAGUAGAAGUAAACUCUCUGCGUAGGUUUGAUGAGAGUGAUAUUCCUUUUGAUAAACCUGCUAGCUUAUGCAUGGAUGAAUUUGAUAACUUCGUUGCCAAACAACAGUGUUUCAAUGAUUAUGUUAGCAGACAAUUGGAAAAGAAUGCUCGUAUGCUUAGUCAUUUAAGUGCUUGUGUGGACAGAAAUGUCAAUGAUCUUAAGCUUCUGAGUAAGCAUGCCUCUAUGGUUACUACUCAGAUAGAACAAGUACUUAAAGCUCAGAAUGACUUGCUCAAUGAGUUGAAUGACAAUUCCGUUAGAGUCGUUACUAGAGGCGGUAGAAUGACCCAUGAACCUUUGUAUCCUGAGGGUCAUCCUAAGAGAAUUGAACAAGAUUCUCAAGGAGUUAGCACUAAUGCACCUAGCCAUCCUAGAAAGAAAACGGAAGAUGAUAGGAACCUGCACGCUACCAACCCUGUUGCUUCUACCCCUGAGAGUUCAAACAAUGCCUCUGUCUCGGAUGCCGAAACACAAUCUGGUGAUGAACAUUAGCCUAAUGAUGAUAUCAAUAGUGAUGUUCAUGAAGAUGCUCAACCUAGCAAUGAUAAGGAUGUCGAGAUUGAACCUAGUGUUCAUCUUGAUAACCCACAGCCUAAGAAUAGAAGAUACGAUAAGAAUGACUUCGCUGCUAGGAAGCAUGGUAAAGAAAGGGAACCGUGGGUUCAGAAAUCCAUGCUCUUUCCUCCCAAACCAUCCAAGAAAAAGGAUGAUGAGGAUUUUGAGCGCUUCAUUGAGAUGAUUAGACUUGUCUUUCUGCAAAUGCGUUUGACGGAUAUGCUCAAAAUGUCUUCGUAUGCUAAGUACAUGAAAGAUAUUGUGACUAAUAAGAGGAGGAUACCUGAUCUUGAGAUCUCCGCCAUGUUUGCCAAUUAUACCUUCAAGGGUGGAACUCCUAAGAAACUAGGUGAUCUAGGUGUGCCCACUAUACCUUGCUCCAUUAAAGGCAACUACGUUAGAACUGCGUUAUGCGACCUUGGAGCCGGUGUUAGUGUUAUGCCUCUCUCUCUUUAUCGUAGACUUGAACUGGACAAGUUGACACCCACUGAAAUCUCUCUGCAAAUGGCCGACAAAUCAACUGCUUUCCCUAUCGACAUUUGCGAGGAUGUGCCGACUGUGGUUGCAAAUAAAUCUGAGAAUGGUUUUAGAAAAACUGGGCUAAAUGGUUUGGUUUUUAUACUCGGCUUUAUCUGGUUUAGGUUAUAUUGGGCUUAUGUUUUUUCAGUUUGGUUUGGUUUGGAUUUAUACAGAAAGCAAUUUGGGUAUGGGUGGUUAUGGGCCUAAACCGUUUGGUCCAUUUUAGGCUAAAACUGUGGGUAUAACCCGGUUAUUACCCCAGUUCCUCACCUACCAAGCACAUUCCAAGAAAAAUGGCGUCUCCAGACUCCAGUUCCUCGCUUGGCCGCCGCCCACCGCCCCGCCGCAUGCAGGCCUACUCCUGGCCGGUCGCCGCAUGCAUGCCUCCUCUUCGCCGGCCGCCGCACGCCCACAGGACCUCCUGCCGGCCACCGCACGCACACCUCCUCUCCGCCGGCCGCCGCACUCACUCCUCCUCCCCGCCGGCCGCCCCGACCAGGAGCGGCUCAUCUCCGAGUCGCAGCACGGCGGNNNNNNNNNNNNNNNNNNNNNNNNNNNNNNNNNNNNNNNNNNNNNNNNNNNNNNNNNNNNNNNNNNNNNNNNNNNNNNNNNNNNNNNNNNNNNNNNNNNNNNNNNNNNNNNNNNNNNNNNNNNNNNGAGGGUUUCGUGGUGGCCGCUGAGGGCCUCAUCAACAACUACAGGUCCUUCUUCUUCUAGUGGCAGAACCCGGUGAAGCUCAAGCUCGCUUAGGUCCGUCCAUCGGCGCCGCAUCUCACUUGUGAAUGAAGGAAGCAAGCAAGCAGUAAAUCCCGAUGGAUCAAAUCGAAUCAUGUGAAGUUGUUUCUGAUUGACAACAAUGAAUGGAUGGAUCCUGAAUCUAACCAAGAUUAUCUGCAUACAGUUAGUGGAUUGGAAGCAUUAGUAAUAGACGACAUGCAUAGUGAGUCUACAGUUGCAUCUUGUCUUAUUUACAUUAUGACUGAAUUUCGCUGAAUUUUAGUACUUGAUUUGUUGGUUCAGUGUAUGCAACCAUUAAUUAAGCGGUUGUUAACCCAUUUUUGUAAACAGUUCCAACCCACGGUUGGAGGUUUGGUUUAGUUCAGUUUGGUUAAAAAAAUAACAGGUUUGGUUUUGGUUGGGUUUCAAGCUAUCCCAGAUAGGUUUGGUUUAGGUUUAGGUUUGAAGUUAGCUCCUGUGGGUUUGGUUGAGGUAUGGUUCAGGUGCCCAACCAUUCUCAGAUUUAGUUGCUAAUGUCACUAUCUUAACAGACUUUGUUAUCUUGGAUAUUCCCGAGGACGAUGCCAUGGCGGUUGUCGUGGGUAUAAGCCUGACAGUAGAUGUGUAGGGUACGAAUGAGAUGGGCAGAGUCCUAGCUACGGCGAGGUUGUAUGAGUUCAGGCCCCUCUGCGGUGGAGGUAACAGCCCUACGUCUCAGUGCUCUCGGAGCUUGUUACCGAGUGUGAUAUGGAGUACAAAGAUUUGCUAACCCCUUUACCAGUGGGGGAGGGCGGCUUAUAUAGAGUGCGCUGCCCCCCACAACGGUUCUGACUCAGGGGUGGAGUAGCGGCGAUUGAAUGCGUACGUUACAGGUAGCGUAUGCUCUAAAUGCUAAUAAAUGCACCCGGAAACGUUCGGCCGUUUCCCUCCGGAGAGGUUACGACGUACCGAGUGUAUCCAGUCGGUGAGCCUGGUGUCCUCCGAAUGCUAGUUACCGACUGGAUGAUUCAGGGCCUGUUACCGACUGGAUGAUGGGGAUGCCUUAAUUCAGUCGGGGCAGACUUAAGGUCCUGUCCUUUGUGUGGGGUAGUCCUUGGGUAGGACAUGUAGGGCAGGCCUAUGACCCUACCCUAGGACUAUGACCCCAUCAUUAGUCCCCGAAUGGAUUGGGGUUGAAACGUAGAAGCGGUGUUUGAGGUUCAGAUCCGACUGAACUAGGUUUGGCUUGGGCGUUGCUUGCCUCUAUCCAUUUUAUCUCUCUCGACCAACGCUCUGAGUGGAAGUGCUUGCGAAACAGACUGUCGGGAACCGAGUGCUUCCACGGCAUCUUCUGACGCGACCGGUCAACUGACAGCGGCGGAUUUUCCGGGAUCUCAAAUUUCGGGUUCCGCGCGCUCAGCGGGGGUGACGUGAGCGCGCUCGAGUAGCGCAUGACUCCUCGAUCCUCGCGCCUUCAACUCCUCCACUGAUAUCGCCGCGGCUGGUUGGGCAGAUAAGAUUUCGGGCCCGCUCGCCAGCGACCCAGUCGGUGCUCUAUUUAACUCUGGGCGACGAGACCCUUCGGUUACACUCGCCGAAUCUUUCGCUCCGCCUGCUCCGUCUUCCUUGCCACCUCCUGCGCUCACACACUCCUUCCUUCUCCUCCUUCUCGAGAGCUCGCCGUCGCCGCCAUGACCAAAGGUCAGACCAGCAAGAUGGAGGCGAGGAAGAAGAAGAACAAGGCGGCGGCCACUCAACGGCGGCAGCGGCCGUUGCCGGCGGGGUGGAUCCAGGGAGACUUUCUCCCCUCCACGGUGAUGGAGGGGGACCUGCUGGAGCUGGUGGAGCACGACAUGCUCGUGCAUAAGACCCGGAGGCUGCCGGCGGAUGACGAGGUCGAGCCAGCGCCACGGGAGGGGGAGCGCGUCUUGCUCCUCAGCCAUGUUCACAUAGGUUUUUCUCUGCCCCCGCAUCCCUUCUUCAAAGGCAUCAUGAACCACUUUGGUGCUCAACUCCAUGACUUUCCUCCGAAUGCCAUCGCCCACCUUUCUGCCUUCAUUGUUUUGUGCGAGUGUUUUAUCGGUUGUCCUCCCCAUUGGGGUUUAUUCAAACAUAUCUUCUCCGCCCGCUCUCAAACCAUCAAACGCCUUAGUCAGUCGGACGACAAGACGCAUCUCCUCCAGCUCUGUGGGGGUUUAGGAUUUCAGAAGAAGAGUCGGAGCAGCUAUCCUGCCCUCCAGUUGAGCGAAUCGGUUAGGAACUCGCAGUCGACGUGGUUCUACUGCCAGGACAUAGCCUGUCCGAAUGCGUCGACUGGGCUGCCUCCGUUUAGUCUAGACCGGCCCGCCCCACCUAAACAGCUCGCGCUCUCGAAAGCCGAGAAGAACGACAUCCAGCCUUUGGUCGAGGCACUUGUGGAUGUUGUCAGGAAGGGGGUCACCGGCAUAGACCUGCUGGAAGUCUUCUUGGGUCGGCGGAUCCAGCCGCUGCAGGCCCGUGAUCACGCUAUGUGGCACUACACAGGGCCCGAGGAUUCCACUCGGACCAACGUGGUGGGCGUACCCGAGGAGAGGGUGACCUCGUGGGUGCUCCAAAUCACGGGCCCUUGUGAGAACCCCAAAGGAGCUCGCCGAGUGACGCCUUUCAGCGCGGAUCACCCUCCAUCAAAUCAGGUGAGUGACAUGAAUCGAGGGCAUUGAACUGUAUCAAUUCCUGACUUUUAUUUAUAUCUCCGUGUGAUGUCUGAUGUUUCCGACUGAACUUCAUGCAGGCGUGGACCAACUGGUUCUCACCCGUCUCGAACGGGAAUCCGGAGGAGGAGGAGGAAGAAGGCAGCCAGGAGGGGAGCGUGGAGAGUGCCGAGUACGUCUCCGACAGCGGGGAGUCGGAGGAGGAGGACAACGAGGACGAGGAAGAGGAAGAAGAGACAGACUUGCCACCUGAGCGGCCAGAGCAUCGGAGCAAAUGUCGGCACGAGCCUGCCAUCCCUUCAGCUCCUCCUGCGUCGUCAAGUGCUCCGCCUCUUGCCCCGGUGGUCCCGAGUGUUAGAGGCACCAAGAGGGCCAGGGACGCAGCCGCUGAGCCCGCGGUCCAGUCUUCCAGGGUGCCUAGGCCGAGUGGGCCCAAACCCCGGAAGGCUCUGCCGCGGAUGAAGGUUGCCAUCCCCGUCACCUCCACGUAAGUGAAUCUAACUUUCGGAUCUUUCUGUUGUCCGAGUGAACUCCUGUUUUAUAAGUCGAAUGGACUUCACUCGACAGGGUCGCCACUUCUGCAACUUCUCCGGCCCGCCAAGGGGACGACCCCAUGGACACGGACAACGUUGUCUCAUCCCAGCCAGGUAUGUUGUAGGAGAGUCGGGUGUUUUAUUUCUGUAGACUGCACCAUUCUUUCUUUUUCUGAGUCGUCGUGCCAUUCGGCUUGUCAGGGGCGAUUCACCUCAUCGAGGACGAGCAGGGGAGAGCCGACCCCGCCGUGGAGCCUGUCCUGGAGCCAGUCCCUGAGGCUGCGCCUCCUGCUGCCACCCUUGUCGUCAACGCUCCGUCAACCGAAGCGCCUCCACCGACUGAACCGGUGCCGGUGGGGGAGGACCCGACUGGGGUGGAUCUUGGGAUGCCCCAGGGACCUCCCACGAUUCCCGGUUCGUCGAAUGUUGAAUUCAGCAUCCGGCGUCUUCCAGAGGAGCAGGUGGGAGCGGCCAAGGGGGCCAUGGUGCAGGCGGAGCUCAUGGCUGGAGAAGCCAAGAUGGCUUACGACUCCGUUGCGGCGUUGUACCAGCGGAGCUUGGAGCUGCGCGACGACAUCCGAGUAAGUAGUCUAGUAAGUAUUUACUUUUCUCCUGUAACCCACUGGGUGGUAUUGUUUUUGCAAUGGGUUCACUCCGAGUGAACCCAGUGGGUGUAGUCCCCGAGACUUCUGUCGAGUGCUUGCACCGACAGUUGUCUUUAUACAUUUUGUCUUCAGUUUGGUUGUGUCCGUAGGCAGGAUUUCCGAGUGCGAGUACUUAUUGCAGUCGGAGCGCUCUUGCGGUAAGAGUCUCCGAGAGUAAGUUGCGCGCAGGUCGAGUAGUAUUAGCCUCUGAGGCGUAGGUGAAAACAUGCAUCUCAAUAGGACGGGCCUGCUUAAGGUGCAUGCCAGUGGGGUCACUCUUAGUGAACCACUGGGUGUAGUCCCCGAGACCGCUGUCGACUGCUUGCGUCGGCAGGGGUCUGAAGAACUUAUACUGUGUAUGGAGAAACUUGAUGAUUACCCUUUGUUUUUUGGUAGCAGAAAACUUGUGAGAUGGGAACGGCCUAUGAGGCCCUGAGGGAUGAGAGGAACCAAUAUGCUGGUGAACUGGAAGCUACGAUGCUCGCCAUGGCCAGCAUGAAGAGUGCACUGGAAGUACGAGAGAAGUCCUUGGAGGAGGCGCUGGAGGCAAACAGGGUGUUGACGGCGGAGGUGGAGAGGAUUGGGAAACAGAGGACUGAGCUGCACAAACAGAUGGGCAUCCUGAACAAAUGAUGCAUAGCCCAAGAGAAGUAUGUCACCGACUGGGCUGCGCAGAUGAUGACUUGUCUAGCUGGUAAGUCUUAUGCUUUGUCGAGUGGUUGGACCGUGUGACGAACACUCGGUUUUUACUGUCUGCUUGCUCGUUUGGUGCAGACUUUUGCGGUGACGCCGAAGCUGAAGCGGCGGCUGUGGAGCGGUCCAUGAAGGACAAUGUGCCACUCGGCGAGGACGCCAACCGGGAUCUGCUCCGGGCGCAUAUUCGCGUAGGCAAAGUGGGUCCUUUCAUCAGCCGACUGAGAGAAGUCAUCGGCUGCAUUGACAAGGAGCUUUGGCCAGAGGACGAGUCGCGGCAGGAGAUGGAGACUCUGUUGGGGCGACUGGAGGAGAUUCCGGGCCGAGUGCAAUCUUGGAAAAAAUCGGCAGCGCGUUGCGGCGCUAACGUUGCGCUGUCCUUGGUCCGAGUCCAUUGCAAGGAGGUGCGGGAAGAUAAGCUGAAGACAUUGAAGGUCGCCAAUACGAAGAAGCUUCGAUUCGAAGACUUCAUGGAGACGUUCCUUGAGACUGCUACCCGCAUCGCUGAUGGAAUCGACUUGGACACUUUUGUGGAGCCCUCCAGUCCUGGCGCCAGCCCAGCUGACGCGUGAUAAAACUUUGUCCUCGGUAUGCCGAGUGUUUGCCUGUAAGAUACUCUGGCCACUUCUGUUGGCUAUCGUACUUUUAAAUCGGUGCGNNNNNNNNNNNNNNNNNNNNNNNNNNNNNNNNNNNNNNNNNNNNNNNNNNNNNNNNNNNNNNNNNNNNNNNNNNNNNNNNNNNNNNNNNNNNNNNNNNNNGGGAGCAAGCUUUUGUGUUUGUGCAGGAUCUUGAGAUACUCCUCCACUGGAUUGAUACCUCGGUUCUCAAACUGAGGGAAAUACUUACCACCGCUAUGCUACAUCACCCUUUCCGCUUCGAGGGAAUACCAACGCAAGGCUCCAAGGCCACGGGGGAAAUCCUUUGCAUACUUGCCUAGGNNNNNNNNNNCGAUUGAUACCUUGGUUCUCAAACCGAGGGAAAUACUUACCACCGAUACGCUACAUCAUCCUUUCCGCUUCGAGGGAACACCACCGCAAGGCUCCAAGGCCACGGGGGAAAUCCUUUGCAUACUUGCCUAGGAAGUCCCUUAAGGCUAGCCGCAGCAGAAGGAUCAAGCCAAGUAUUCUCCCGUCGACGUGCCUAUUUCUGGCGCCAUUGGAAGGUCUUUUGUUGCAGUAGGAGAAGUAUUUCUGGCGCCGUUGACGGGGAGGAGAAAUCAAGAUCUAUCCAAGUAGGUCUCACAAACUCAUCUCUUGCAUUUACUUUUGUUGCCAGUUGCCUCUCGUUUUCCUCUCCCCCACUUCAUAUUUGCCGUUUUCAUUCGCCUUUUCGUUCGCCCUUUUCUCUCACUUGCUUUCUGUUAAUUUGUGUGCCAUGUGCCUUCAAUAUGCUUGCAUCUUUGCUUGCUGAAAAUCUAGUGAUAUGGAUCCUCAUCCACUUGCUAAUCUCUUUAAGAGACCCACUUAUGUUGAGGGCACUUCACUACUGGAAUUCCUUUAUUUGCCAUCUGCCAAAUCUUUGCCAUCAGCCAGCAGACGACAAAGAACAUAUUUGCCAUCAGCUUCAGGAAAACAGACGGCAAAGAGGUGGCUGAUGGAAAAAUACCUAUUUGCCAUCAGCCACCUCUUUGUCGUCCGCCCACAGACGGCAAAGGAAGAGAAGGCAGACGACAAAGCUGACGCCAUCACNNNNNNNNNNNNNNNNNNNNNNNNNNNNNNNNNNNNNNNNNNNNNNNNNNNNNNNNNNNNNNNNNNNNNNNNNNNNNNNNNNNNNNNNNNNNNNNNNNNNUAUAUGUGGAUGACAUAUUGCUGAUUGGAAACAACGUAGAGUUUUUGGAGAGCAUAAAGGAUUACUUGAAUAAAAGUUUCUCUAUGAAGGACCUAGGAGAAGCUGCUUACAUUCUAGGCAUUAAGAUCUACAGGGAUAGAUCAAAACGCCUGAUAGGACUUUCACAAAGCACAUACCUUGAUAAAGUUUUGAAGAGGUUCAAAAUGGAACAGUCCAAGAAAGGGUUCUUGCCAGUUUUGCAAGGUACGAGAUUCAGUAAGACUCAGUGCCCAGCAACUGAUGAGGAUAGAGAGCAUAUGAGCACCGUCCCCUAUGCUUCAGCCAUAGGUUCUAUCAUGUAUGCAAUGUUGUGCACUAGACCGGANNNNNNNNNNNNNNNNNNNNNNNNNNNNNNNNNNNNNNNNNNNNNNNNNNNNNNNNNNNNNNNNNNNNNNNNNNNNNNNNNNNNNNNNNNNNNNNNNNNNNNNNNNNNNNNNNNNNNNNNNNNNNNNNNNNNNNNNNNNNNNNNNNNNNNNNNNNNNNNNNNNNNNNNNAUCCUGAAGUACCUGAAAAGGACUAAGGAGAUGUUUCUCGUGUAUGGAGGUGACGAAGAGCUCGCCGUAAAAGGUUACGUCGAUGCAAGCUUUGACACUGAUCCGGACGACUCUAAGUCGCAAACCGGAUACCUAUUUAUUCUUAAUGGGGGUGCGGUAAGCUGGUGCAGUUCCAAGCAGAGCGUCGUAGCAGAUUCUACAUGUGAAGCAGAGUACAUGGCUGCCUCGGAGGCGGCUAAGGAGGGUGUCUGGAUGAAGNNNNNNNNNNCAAAGGGUUACGUCGAUGCAAGCUUUGACACAGAUCCGGACGACUCUAAGUCGCAGACCGGAUACGUAUUUAUUCUUAAUGGGGGUGCGGUAAGCUGGUGCAGUUCCAAGCAAAGCGUCGUAGCAGAUUCUACAUGUGAAGCGGAGUACAUGGCUGCCUCGGAGGCGGCUAAGGAGGGUGUCUGGAUGAAGCAGUUCAUGACGGAUCUUGGAGUGGUGCCAAGCACACUGAAUCCAAUAACCUUGUUCUGUGACAACACGGGUGCCAUUGCCCUAGCAAAGGAACCACGGUUUCACAAGAAGUCCAGACACAUCAAACGACGCUUCAACCACAUCCACGACUACGUCAAAGGGGAGGACGUAAAUAUAUGCAAAGUGCACACGGAUCUGAAUGUAGCAGAACCGCUGACUAAACCUCUUCCACGGGCAAAGCAUGAUCAACACCAGAACUGUAUGGGUGUUAGAUUUAUUACAAUGUAAUUCGCAUGAUGAUGUGAGGGCUAGAUUAUUGACUCUAGUGCAAUUGGGAGACUGUUGGAAUUAUGCCCUAGAGGCAAUAAUAAAUAUAGUUAUCAUUAUAAUUCCUGUAUCAAGAUAAUCGUUUAUUAUCCAUGCUAUAAUUGUANNNNNNNNNNAUAUCAAGAUAAUCGUUUAUUAUCCAUGCUAUAAUUGUAUUGAAUUAAGACUUAUAUACAUGUGUGGAUACAUAGCCAAAACACUGUCCCUAGCAAGCCUCUAGUUGGCUAGCCAGUUGAUCAAAGAUAGUCAGUGUCUUCUGAUUAUGAACAAGGUGUUGUUGCUUGAUAACUGGAUCACGUCAUUAGGAGAAUCACGUGAUGGACUAGACCCAAACUAAUAGACGUAGCAUGUUGAUCGUGUCAUUUUGUUGCUNNNNNNNNNNAAACAAGGUGUUGUUGUUUGAUAACUGGAUCGCGUCAUUAGGAGAAUCACGUGAUGGACAAGACCCAAACUAAUAGACGUAGCAUGUUGAUCGUGUCAUUUUGUUGCUACUGUUUUCUGCGUGUCAAGUAUUUGUUCCUAUGACCAUGAGAUCAUAUAACUCACUGACACCGGAGGAAUACUUUGUGUGUAUCAAACAUCGCAACGUAACUGGGUGACUAUAAAGAUGCUCUACAGGUAUCUCCGAAGGUGUUNNNNNNNNNNNNNNNNNNNNNNNNNNNNNNNNNNNNNNNNNNNNNNNNNNNNNNNNNNNNNNNNNNNNNNNNNNNNNNNNNNNNNNNNNNNNNNNNNNNNUUGACCCCUUCGCACUAAAGGGGAAACUCCUCCGUCCUACUGUCUGCCACGCGCCUGCCCUUCCUACGCGUCACGCUUGAGUCUCGAGGUCGGGCCUCGCCUUGGAAUAUCCUCCGCUUCGGAGGGGUCCUGAGGUGGCCCCCUGCAGGUCUUGAUACCAUUCCUCCUCGUUAGGCUUGGCCCCUCACGAGCGCCUUGCCUUGAGUGGUGUCGGGCUCGUUGGUCUGCUCGAUAAGGUGGGCCAGCCUUGGGCCGUAGGUAGGCAAUUCUGGGUACCCGCAUUCCCCGAACGCCUACAGUGACCCCACUGGUUACUACAACACUCGACCAGGUCCGUCCUGGUGAGUCAAAAAGACCUUGCGUCCAAGUUUUUAAGACUAUUGCCAUUUGUAAACGAUUGACAAUAGCAUCAGGGACUACACCCAGUGGGUGCACUUAGCGUGCCCCCACUGGAUACAACAACACUCGUCAAAGAAAAAGUAUUUCUACUUAUCAGACCACUGACAAUGCAAUCACUCGACAACUGUCUCGGGGACUACACCCAGCGGGUUCACUCAGCGUAACCCCACUAGAAUGGAAACAACAACCAUGCAACACUACUAAACCUCUAGUGGAUGAAAAAACAAGAUUCAAAUUGAAUAUCAAACUUAUUAUCGCACUUACUCAGAUGUUGGCUCAGAGCACCGAGCUGCUGUCAUACACUGACUUGAUGGCGUCGUAAGCUCCUUUGGCCUGUUGCAUCAUCAAGUCCACCUAGAUCAUGGCCUCCUUAGGAGCACCAGUAUGGUCCUCUGGGACUAGGCACAUUAUAUAUGUAGACAUCGUAGGAGUUGGAGCCGCGACAGAUAUGACUGGAGUUCCCAACUGCAGAUCAGUCGACGUAGUGGUGAUAACGACCGAACUGACAGGGGGCACACUCACCGCAGGCGUCUCGGACACAGUUCGGACCAACUCAACAGCCGUUCGCUGCUGAUCAUCGUCAUCCAAAUGGAUGACAUCUGUAGCUGGCAAAGCUGAUAAGCAAUAAUGUCAAAAAUUCCAAUCGGAAGACUAUACGCACAAAGACACAAAACUGAGUGAGAAGUUGAUCGCACCUCACUGAGAAGUGGUCGCAUCCGCGGUGUCUACAUCCAUGAGAUACCCAUCUUCUCUCGGUGGUGACAUCACAGAAGUUGCAGCUCUGACAAAGAAACUCCAUUCGGUCAACAUCAACAAAGGAAGUUCACUCGGAUCAAACGAAAAGAAUGAACACUUACGUCGAGGCGACUGGUACAGAGAUCCUCAUCCGAGGUAGAGCCUUCUGAGGUUUUGACUUGCUAGGCUUUAGCAGCUUCGCGGAAUUCUCCGCCGAUUCGUUGGAUGCUCCCCUAACCCUCUUAGUACUUCGGCCACUCGACGCCAAGGUCUUGUUUGGCGUGUCUGCUGGAUUGUGGCGCUGCUUAGAUUGAGGUUCAACGCGAGAAGGAGAUGAAACCUCGUCUUCGCUUUCUUCCGAGUCAUCCUUGGUUUCCUCGUUGUCUUCAACAUAGUCACUUUCAGCACUACCUUCCAUGCUCCCUUCUUUGACCUCAAGCUGGGCACCAUUCGGAACUGGUGAGUACAUGUUCGUCCACGUCUGCGAAAUAGAGUUCACAAUGUCAGCCGACAGAAAUUUCAAUCACUCGACUAUAAUGCAAAGAUAUUCAACAAAGCACGACUUACCACAUUAUUCGGCGGAUUCUGAAAGGAAUAGGGUAAAACCCGCUUCGAUCCUAGAGGAUUGUCACAAGGACUGGUAAUGUUGCGGAUCCACUUCGCCACCGUGUCCUUGUCUACCUCCUCCGGAUGAGACCGAGUUGAAUCCUCCGGGCCUGAGUAAUGCCACAUGGCAUGAUCCCUAGCCUGGAGAGGCUGGAUGCGUCGUCCAAGGAACGUUGUCGGAUUUCGGGCUCCGCAAAACCCUAAAGAUUCACACACAGAACACGGCAGUUUACCCAGGUUCGGGCCGCUGGGAAGUGUAAUACCUUACUCCUGCUUUGCUGGAUUUCCUGUCGUGGAGGUUGGUGGAUGAACUGGUACAGUGUUCGGGGGUCUCCGGAGGCUGGGUGACCUUUGCGUGGUAUCGGUGGACGAAUGAAUGAAUCAGCUCCCCCUCUACGAAGUAACCUACCCUCUAUAUUUAGUGGCGGCCCCGGUCCUCUUCCCUUAUCGUUUCGGUGGGAAGGGAUCCCACCACUGCCAAUUUUGAAGGGGAACAUGGGAACAUGCUCCCCUGCCCAAAGGUGGUCUUCGUGUGCAAAGUGGCUGCCAAACGCUGCAAGGAUGGGUCUAGGGAUGACGUAUGUCCUGCUGGCGGGCAGCGAUGGCCUUGUUGCACCAGAAAGGAAACCUUUGGAAGAUGCCUUGGGAAUCCCGGUACGUGCUUGCCCCCUUUGCACUAAAGGGGAAAGUGCUCCGAUCUAUUGUCUACUACUCGCAUGUCCUUCCUCCGUGUCAUCCUUGACUCCNNNNNNNNNNNNNNNNNNNNNNNNNNNNNNNNNNNNNNNNNNNNNNNNNNNNNNNNNNNNNNNNNNNNNNNNNNNNNNNNNNNNNNNNNNNNNNNNNNNNUCAAUUUUGUUUGGGAGCCGCCGCAAGUAGGAAAGCCCCGGGCAACCGAGGCUGCCUUCCGCCGGUGGACCAGUCGCCGGCGACUCCAUGCCCCUCUCCGACCCUAGAGAUUACCGGGAGGAUCGUCUUGGUCCCCUGCAUCCAUUCCCAUAGCUUAGAACCCUUGGGGAGCCGUCGCCCAUCGGUGAGGGCCGCUGGAAGCCGCGCCCCGUCGGCCGAAGGAAGAACAAGGCACGGUUGGACCUUGUCAAAUCUGACCAGUGGGCCCUCUGGUCCACUGUCAGUGAAGGUCCCUGCCGAAGCGUUGAGUCGAGGCACAUUUCUUAGGAGUACGUCUUCCCUGUCUGAAAGCGUAUAUUAUACCGAAAUGUUUUCUUUUAAACUAUUUUAUUAAAAUCAAAAAGUUGACCUACUUUGACUAGCUCUGGUUUUUAAAACCACAAUUCCAAAUAAGUUGAUUCUUUUUGUGUUAUUUCUCAAAUUCCAUCUAGUUUAGUUACACGUUUAUUCCAAAAAAAAACAACUUUUCUAUAUUGUUUGGAAAUAUAUGUUAAUUUUAAUAUUUUUAAAAAUAGGAAAAAAGGAGGGAAGAAUCCUUUCAAAGAUUUUGGAGUGCACACUACCCUUGUUCAUACCCAAGGCAAACAUGUGGAGCACUUAUUUGUCAUAAGUGGAGUGAUUGCUUGCUGCGAUAAAUGAAUGCAUGUUUAUGUUAGUAAGAUGAAAACUCCCAUAUAAGAAAUACUUAUGCAUGAAUGCAUGUGAUGGUUAUUUUUUUGUUGUUGAUCAUAAUUAUAGAUGAUACUCUGUACUACCUCAUUCCACGUAUGCCUGUGUCGGCCCGGACAACCUUUGAGGAAGGUUUGUCGUGGGCAAAAGUGUGACCAUGAAAGUGAUAUCUCGUUGUGACGAGAGUGAUCAAUGAGGGUAUAUCGGGGUAUGAUGGUGGUAACACUCUCGGAUAUCAUUCGGAAAUUUUGUGAUGCUAAUCAUUGUAGGGAAACUUAAACCUGCUAAGUCGACAGUAGAUCGAGUCUUCUACGAGUAACCCUCAUACUUGAUUUGUGCUACCACUUGUCACUGCCACGGGUAGGGUACGGUUCAGUAAGUCAUCAACCCCUUUCCAUGCACACACCGUACAGAGAGGCCAUAGUGAACGAUACCACUGAUCACUGGUAGGCAUGUUACUUGGUCUGGGGGCAUGGGUGUUCCGGUUGCAUCGAGGGGGUAGCGCCCAUGUUUGCGCGUGGUAAAAAUAUGUUGAUCCCGUGCUAAUCAAGAUUGUGGUCUCCCCACUUAGAGUUUUUCUUAAUGAUUGCUUUGGGCGAUUACUGGCAUCGGAAAGUUAAGCUGGUUUGUAUGCGUUUGUUCAACUCAAAGACCGUAAGCGGAAUUAGCCAAAAUUACAGGUUGACUAAGGAAAUCCGUUACUCGUUGGUAAAGAGUACACCCUGUGUCGAGUUAAUAUAUAUUCGAAUAGCCGUGUCUGCGGGUAAGCACUACAUUCUGGGAUAGGUCAAGCGUCGGUCUGAGUGUUGGUCUUCGGAGGAAUUAAUUGAAACAUGAUAAUGACAUGAACCGUGAUGGGUGAUCAUAAUUAUUAUGAAUUUUGUUGUGGACCAACCAUUUCUUGUAUAUGAAUUUUUGAGUGUCCCUGGGAAGGUUCUACCUCGUGGAUACUCGAUGUUAUUAUUGUCUUCAUAAUCCCUUUAUGUGGUGUUGCUCCACCCGCCCGACUCUCGCAACUGUUAUUCAUUGCAUAUAAGCCCUUUAUGCGGCGUCGCUCUAGACGCCCGACUGUGGCAACUCUUAUUAUUUACAUAUAAGCCCUUUAAGUGGCGUCUCUCCAUAUGCCCGAUUGUGGCAACUCUUAUUAUUUUUAUAUAAGCCCUUUAUGUGGCCUCGCUCUGGACGCUCGACUACGACACAUCCGUUAUUAUUUUGUUAUAAGCCUUUUAUGCGGUGUCUCUCUAGAUACCCGACUAUGGCAUUACUUUUAUUACGCUGGUAUAAGUCCCUUUAUGUAGCGUCACUUUGACACCUGGAUGUGGCUUAUAUUGCGUGUCCUUUCGAGGUGCCGCUUCAGACGCCCGAUCGGCGCAUUUUUUUAUUGUUAGUCUCUUCCAUUGAUUGCUUAUACAUCAUUAGUAUGAAUGAUUUAUGUGCAUAAUAGCAUCCAUAUAUUAAAUAUUGUGGCAUGUGAGGUGUUAUUAAAAUUUUAGUACAUACAUAUCACCUGCUUUAAAUUAUUUGCUUUCGUGAUGUUUGUGAGUACAUUCAAAGUACUCACUGGCUUGUCCCUGCAUAUUGUCUUGGCUAGAUUACGUAUUUGGAGAGGAGCAUGAUGACGACAACCCCGGAACCUAAGCAUCGAGGAUAGCAGCCUUCCGAGAUAGGAGUCAUCCAGGUGAGUUGUUCCUGUCGGAAUGGAGUCCCGUGGACUCUAAAGAAUCCACGAGUCGCUUCUGCCAUCAGCCAAUAGACAUUUUGUUAUACCCCAUGGACCUUCAUGGUCUUGUUCCCCCUAUUUUGUAAUUUGCUUGUACAUUUUGUAUGAAGUGAGUGUCCUCCAACUAACAGUAGUUCUAGGGCUGGUUAACACAAGGGCCUGUUGCUGGGUAUUUUAUAUCCCAGAAAACCGGUCCCUACAACCUUGCUAUGAGAGCCAGGCUGACCAUUGGCUAAUCCUAUCUUAGCCAGGUCACUAUCCCUAGCCCUGAUAUUAGAUAUCCAUAUCCCAACCUAACAUACCCAAUAGCCAACCAUAGUGGCCAUCCGACACCCUUUUGGCAGUCGGUGCCCAACAUAUCUGCUAGUCCAUAGGCCGUGUGUCUAUGACCGACACCAGAGUUGUCGCACCUCCUAGCUUGCGAUGGAAGACUCACUAGGCCUAUGAAGGAAGCCUUGCCUUAGCCCAGCAACCCACAACCUUCAAUCCCAUUCCAAGAACCCCAAACUAGUAGGUCUUUUGGCCCCGUCAUUUUCCACGAGACCGAUGCAUUCGAGCCUGAAGACCUCGUAGCCAUCCUCGCCGACCUCACCCGCCAUAUUUUUGGCAUAGAAGAAACCCAUGUGUAUGUUGUGCAUGAGGAGCCUGCGAGUGAUCCUAUACAUCACUUUUGGGUCACAGUGCACAUAUACGGAGGGAGUUCCUUGUUGGAAUGCCCAUACCAUUUUACUCAAGGAUUAGCCACGAGCGAAACCCAACCACGCUAGCAUGAAGAAGCUAUAGUCCAGCUUCCGCUUCUGUCGCCGCGAAUAAUUAGCCGCACGUUUCUCUACUAUCAUAGCCGUGAAGGCUAUGGUAGCCCAAACCAUCUCACCAGUGGAGACCAUGAGAUGGACCCGCCAUUGGUGCAUGUAGUGCGCUUCUUAAGAGCACAGGACACGCUUAUUGAUCAGAUCACCUUUGACCUGGUUGCGAACCAUAGGUCAUUUGCUCACCGGACCCCGAUCAACAGUCAAGAUGCAACCGCCUCCAGCAACCAACUAGUAUUAUUUGGAAGACCAGUUGGAUACUCGAGGUCUGCUCGAGUCUUCCCUUAAAACAACACGAUCAUGAUCCCGGGAGAGCUUCACCGCAGUUGGAUGCUUACUGCAAUGAAGUUGUGCCUAGGUUGCGCCAUCCGAGACGUCCUCGUCGCCACAACCCUGCAACCACGUCCCAUGGCCUAGUAAACUCUAGAGCUAUGGUAACCAGAGAAGCUCCAUCGGUGGAAGCCCAAUCAACUGCUCAUCGCAUCAGCUCAAAAGCCGUCGAAGACGGAGCGAGUCCAUCAGAGUAGCUGUCAGGCCCUAGUGGCUGUGUUGCCCUGUAAUGCUAUCCACGUAUUUCCCGGAGUUGUAGUAAGGUAGUUCUAAAUAAAAUUUAGGAUUCCUACAUGGCAUUGUGUUAUAGGGUCAUUUACGUAACCAACGUAAACUAGUUGACAUAUGGCUUUAGAAUAAUUUUUUGGACGUGACUAGCAAAGCCACCUAACCAGCUACCUCAGUGAUGUGUCACCUUCGAAAUUGAUAUUCGAGACCCUAGACCCAAUAACCCAGGUCGCACAAGUGCUAAACUGUGUGUCCCUCAACCAGGCACUCUAUAUGAGGCCACGCCCAUCACCAUCCCAAGCACUACUCACCGUGUGCGCUGCCACACAACCCUCAUUCCCUGUAUUGCCCAUUGGGAUUCGUUUGGAAUCCUGGAUGCAACCCCAACAACUUGGUAAGGAUAUUGUGAUGAUCCGCCCACAACAUUCUUGGCCUUGCCACCAAACCCAGUGCCAACUGUUCAAAUAGAGAAUCCUUGUCCGUUCUUCGAAAUAUUGGACACUUACGCACGCCCCCAAUAAACCCAGACUAGUAGCCUUUAAUCGUCGUCUCCAUCGGGAAACCCAUACCAACGCGAGACAUGGCGAGAGAAGUUGAUGCCUUCAAUGAAAUCGUUAGUACUUGAUUUGCGGCCCCAAGAGCGAGUAAAAGGGGAUAAUAAUUUUUACUCCCGAGUCAUGCAGCCCCGGAAUGGAUCCGCGUUUCCUUGCAGCCCAAGGUAGAGAGGUCCGUGACUGAGCAACCUUGUCCAAUGUGUCAUUGCCAAGAGCAUUUGACCCAGCAACUAAUGGAUUAUUUCCACAAUCUUGCUGUUGUGAAUCCUCGGAUCACCUUGAUAGACCGCUAUUGCCAGACCAGAGAGGGCACAUUCUGCAAACCCCUCCCGGAGAAACACAAUGUGCCCCAUGACUAGGGAUGUUUUCUUAGAGCCCCGUCGCUCGUACCUUUUAAAUGCCCCUCGGAGUGUUUGUUAGGCUACCAGAUACUUGCAUGAUGUUAUAUUAGUGACCGUGUGUUAUAAACAACUGUCGUGAUUGCACCUGCAUAUGAGUGACCUUGUUCCAUGUUUCACAAGUCAUUUAUUUUCUUUCCUUAGCAAAUCUUGAGGACAAGAUUUUUCUUGAAGGGGGUAGUGUUAGUAACACCCCAAAAAUUUAACCAUAUUUUUAUUAAUUAAAAAUUUGCCUGAAAUAAAACUUUUGAAAAUAAUUUGCUUCUUUCCUCAUUUCACAACCUCCUUUCUAAAACUUUUCUAUCCAAGUAGAGAUUUUGAGAAUCAUUGUGGAGUUGAGUAUUGGUUGAAAUAAUUUUAAUUUUCAAUGGGAAAUAUUUUUAUAAAAACAAUUGCCAAAUUAAAUUCUUUUAAAGGCUUUUUCAUUCUUUUGGAGCCUCUAUUGCAGUGCAACCAUUUCAUAAAUUCAUUUUAAAAUUCCAUAAAAAAUUGGAGAUGUCAAGUGAGGCAUGUGACUCACCUUUAUGCAAAACCCAUUCUCGUCCUUUGAAAAGUUUGAGCAAAACAUCCCCAUUUCCAUUCUGGUCAAGUUCAGCAGUUUGAAGUGCAACCCUAUCUUAACUUUCCCUAUUGGCCAUGAGGUUUCUCCUGCUUGUAUUUCAUCCUACCAAACCCUUAAGUCGAUGAGUUUAGAUCCAUUGUAGUAUUUUAAAUGCAUGACAUAACAACCUGUAUUUUCUGUCUAGACAUGUUUUUAACAAAGAAUUUCACUAGCAAGUUUUUUGUUUGGCCAAUCUAACCCCACCAUCAAUUUAGUGUCCAAAGAGACCCCUCUCUAGAAAUUUUGGGUGCUAGGAAGGUCUUUUAGAUGCCACUAGAAUUUCAUCAAACACCUAGAGAGCAUGGACAAUUUUAGCUUUGUUCAAAAAUUACUUUGGGAACUUGCUUCCCUUGACUAACGAGCGUGUCUAGCAGCUCAGUCUUUCCCAUUAGCCUAACACUAGGAGAUUACAUUUGCAGCAAAGUCCCCUUAGCCACCAUGGAAUUUCGUCGAACAACUACAAUGCACAUCCAAAGCGGGAGCAGAGCAUGCGUUUUGCACGCAGCUGCGCCGAGCCACCACGUCCACCAACCCCCGUGUUCCCUGGCCNNNNNNNNNNNNNNNNNNNNNNNNNNNNNNNNNNNNNNNNNNNNNNNNNNNNNNNNNNNNNNNNNNNNNNNNNNNNNNNNNNNNNNNNNNNNNNNNNNNNGGCGCAUGGCCAACGCUGAGCGCAUAACGCUGCCCCUAGGCACCGAGCUCAGCAGUGUCCUAGAACUGGUGGCAUUGUUCUCCAGUAGCCGGGACAAGGUGAAGCAGGCCGCCCGGGUGGCCCACAACGAUCUGGAGUGCCUUGAAGAACGCGCCAAGGUGAGUCCUUCAUCUUUUGCAUCUUCUCUACCUUGCCUUGGCUUUUUUUCUUUUUCUGCUCCUGAAUCAGUGGGGGCGUGCCAGCGCACCCACUGGGUGUAGCCCUCAAGAAUCGGGCCGACCAAGCAUUGGCCAGGCCGAAUCUCCUUGUGCUAUGUUCAUUUUUGGUUUUUUAUUGGGGGCGUGCUAGCGCACCCACUGGGUGUAGCCCCCGAGAAAUGGGCCGACUAUGAGUUAGUCGGGCCGAAUCUUACUUCUUGCUUUCUUUGCUUUGCUCGUAGGAGUUUCAUGACACCCAAGUCCAGGCGUCUGAGGGCCAAGUUGGCGAUCUCUAGGGCCGGCUGGACACUGCCGUCUCGGAGUGAGACGCCCUGCAUAAGGCGGACAAGCACUCCAGCAGCAGCUGGGUCUUCUCCCGACGGAGAAGAAGGAUCGCGAGGCGGCCCGUCGGCUGAACUCGAGCAGCUGCGCACCACUCUUCAGGAGAAGGACACCUCCCAUGCUGCCGACAUGGAGCAUCUCAAGACGGCUCCUCUCGAGGAGAUGAAGCUCAAGGACGCUGGUGCAUACAUGGCGUUGCGCUUGGCCAAGUCCUGGUAUCGAAACCUGGACUUGGGCAAGCUCGCUGCAGAACGCGGCGGCUCGGAGGGGGAGGUGUAGNNNNNNNNNNNNNNNNNNNNNNNNNNNNNNNNNNNNNNNNNNNNNNNNNNNNNNNNNNNNNNNNNNNNNNNNNNNNNNNNNNNNNNNNNNNNNNNNNNNNGUUCUCGUUGUUGCCGAACGCCUCGCCGCCGUCGAGCUCCUCAUCACCGCCGUACGCUUCGUCGCCGCCGAAUACUCCGACGCCGCCCGAGGUUUCCGCGCCCCUCCAUAAGCCUUCGUCGCCGUCGACCAUCUCCGGCCGAACCCACCAGGUUAGGUCUCCGUUUACUCAAGAGCAGAUCCCUAUUCUUUUUCGAAGUUCAUCACUGCCAUGUUAUUGAUGCCUCCCCGAAUAGUUGUUACUUGUUCUUGAUUUAUUGAUAUCGAUGAUGACUAGAAAACCAACGUCUCUAAUACCUUUAUUUGUCCGCCCUUGAUUUGCACACUUAGAGUAGCAUUUCACCAAACCAACAGCAUUGUCACAUCUUGGUCGUAGGUUACCGCAUCCGGUCAUUUUCCGCAUUUAUUCUCAGUUGUCCACUAGAUCCAUAACCUACCGCUCGUUAUAUGAAAACUGUUUGUAGUCUCCAUACUUCACCAUUUUUGGAUAAAUGCCUCUGACGCCUUGAGACACAACUCCUUUAAGUAGCCAAACUUCGUAAGUCGCCAUAGCAACCUGACUCGGGCCUUCAUUUGGCGGAUCAAGAUUUUUCCUUAGCCCGCGGACAAAUCACUUGGCGAGUCAAAUGAAAUUGUUUCACCUCUUACAGUAGAUGUUUUGGCGUGUCAAUUCACCCGCACUUUAUUCCUUUGUAGCAUGGGCGCCGUUUUCAAAAGUGACUGGCUCCCUACCAAGGUCAAUGAUGCCAUACUAGAGGAUUAUGUGAAAACGGGAAAUUUGGACCCUCGGGAUGUUAUCGGUUGGCGUACCGGGUUCGGAGAGGAAAUCCCCAAUCCCAAAGAAGGGGAAAUAGUUGUUUUCAUUGAACACCUUGAGUGGGGUUUUAAGCCACCCGGAUCGAAGUUCCUUAGAGAUGCCAUGGCUUUCAUGAAUGUCCCCCUCCAGGAUCUAGGGCCCAAUUCGAUAAGCAACCUAUGCCAGUUCCAGGUGUUUUGUGAGGCUUACCUGCGAAUGGAACCCUCAGUUCCCUUAUUCUGGUAUUUCUUCCACUUAAGUCGCCAACCAGAAUUCCACAAUGGUCCCAGCUUGGAACUCGGCGGUGUAAAUGUUCAGCGCCGCAGGGAUAGCCCAUUUCCGUCACUCGCCAUGCCGAGCCACCCCAAAGGCUGGGGCAAGUCUUGGUUCUAUUGUCAAGAGACCUCGCGUGUAGGCGAAAACAAGCUUCUGGGUUAUAGGGAAGAUCGACUCCCAACGAAUUUCAAGCUCCCGGAAAAGCUCACCGAAGAAGAAGAAUCAGAUUUUAUCCCAGUUUUGUCCGAAUUAAGAUCUCUGACAAACAACGGCCUUACUGGGGUUGACUUGAUCCGCUGCUGGGUCGAAUGGCGCAUCCUCCCUCUAAGUCGCUGGGACGGGUUAAUGUGUGAAUUUGACGGCACUCUAGACCAUCCUCAAUGUUACUUCCGCACGGCUCUAACGGAAAGCGAUAUUGUCACCAUCAUCAAGAAGCUGACCGAUGAGCCUGCGCGAAAAUGCAGCCAAAUAGGUCUCAAACCCUUCUGCAAGAUUAACCCGGCACCCAAGGUAAGCAACUUUAACCCGCCUUUUGUCUUUUACUUCUUAUGUCUCAUUCGAAUUAUGGCCUCUUACGACAUAUGCCAUUUCAGAAAGGUGAUAAAUUUUGGUCCAAGAAGCCCAAAAAGCCAGCCAUGAAGCAAGCUAAGCCGCCGCCAAAGAAGAAAACCAAGGGCAAGGGCAAAGCUGCUGUGACUGAACCAUCCGAGGCCGAUGAAUCCCAAGUCGGCGACGCACCUUCGGAGGUAAAAACCUAUCUUCUCUUAACUCACCAUCCAUUACUGUUAACUUUGUAUUUAUACCUCUGCAACUCUGGAAUAGAAUGAAGACAACGAAAGCCAGGAGGAUUCUGUAGAGGUAAUUUAUGUUUCCUCCGAUUCAUCUCCUUCUCCACCUAAGCCGGCCAGGCGAAUUUGUGGGAAAGUUCCCUUCUCACAUCCAAAUGCUUGUUUGCAUCCAAAUUUUCUUUUGAAGAAAGCACAAUACACUUCGAAUCGGAAGACCCGAAGUCAUUCCGGUGAUCUGGUGUCCGGUUUACCCACAGGGAGCAAGAAAAGGCCAAAUGAGGUANNNNNNNNNNNNNNNNNNNNNNNNNNNNNNNNNNNNNNNNNNNNNNNNNNNNNNNNNNNNNNNNNNNNNNNNNNNNNNNNNNNNNNNNNNNNNNNNNNNNCACCCAGACUGGUUAGCCAAUCCAGUCCUCGUGCUGAAGAAGAACAAUACCUGGCGAAUGUGUAUCGACUACACAAGCCUGAAUAAGGUGUGCCCGAAAGACCCUUUCUCCUUGCCUAGGAUAGAUCGAGUGAUCGACGCCACAGCCGGCUGCGAACUGCUAUCGUUUCUAGAUGCUUAUUCAGGCUACCAUCAAAUGAAGCUGGAUCCAGUUGAUCGCCUGAAGACCUCCUUCAUCACACCCUUCGAGGCCUACUUCUACACAACCAUGAUGUUCGGUCGUAAGAACGCUAGUGCGACAUUCCAACGCUGCAUGCAGCAGUGCCUCCUACCACAUAUUGACACAAACAUCCACGUCUAUGUCGAUGACAUCGUCGUCAAGACCAAGCAGCACUUCAGUCUCCUUGUCGCCUUGCAGGAGACGUUCGCCAACCUGCGCGAGUACAAGAUCCAGCUCAACCCGAAAAAGUGCGUCUUUGGAGUACCAGGUAGCAAGCUCUUGGGGUUCUUCGUGUCCGCUCGUGGCAUCGAGGCGAACCCUGAGAAGAUCGGAACCAUCGAGCGGAUGGUGAAGUCAGCUCGAAUCCUCGAUGUCCAGAAGUUCGUCGGCUGCAUGGCGUCCCUUAGCCGGUUCGUCAGCCGGCUCGGCGAGAAGGCGCUUCCACUAUACCAACUCAUGAAGAAAACAACCAAGUUCGAGUGGAGCGACCAGGCGGACGAAGCCUUCCGCAACCUCAAGCGCG
rnacentral:lncRNA from 1 species